rnacentral:tRNA from 1 species
GGGAAGGUGGUUCAGUGGUAGAGUGCUUGCCUUGCAUGCAUGAGGCCCUGGGUUUGAUUCCUCAGCACCCA